GGAGGGAUCAUUAACACGUAUCCAAAACGUUCAAACCCAAACCGUGCUCUUUUGUUCCCAUAGGGGGAGGUGACUCGCAAGCCACAGAUGGAUUCUUUUUCUUUCGCAAGAGAGAAGGGUCUGCUUGCAGUCUAUUGAUCCUUUGAGAUCAGCCGAUUCUCUAUGGCGUAUUAAAGCCAUCUGGUUACUAGUGCCAACCCGGUUCCGACCCGGAGCCUAGUAGCCUUAUUAAACCCCAUUUUUUAACCCCUUUAUUUUAUAAAUAACUGAUUUUAACUUUUUCUAGACCGAAAGGUUUGGAUAAGUGUAUACGAAACGCGAACAACUCUUAGCAAUGGAUAUCUUGGUUCUCGUACCGAUGAAGAACGCAGCGAAAUGCGAUACGUAAUGCGAAUUGCAGAAUUCAGUGAAUCAUCAAAUCUUUGAACGCAAAUUGCGCUCUCGGGAUAGCCCUGGAGCAUGCCUCUCUGAGUAUCGGUUCAAACUCUACUCGACAGCGUACUUUUCGAAGUAUACUGACGGAUAAUGAGUGUCUCGGUUACUGAACAAAUCGAGUCACUUGAAAUAUAUACGAAGCUUUUCAGAACUCCUAGUAGCAAUUGUCUAAUCGAAAGAUUAGACUAGCCUUUUUGAGUAUCCCUUAUUGGUUUCUAGUCAAUCUUUACAUUGAUUAGGGAUUAUGGGAUAAACUGGCUUGUUUACUGGUGAUGUGGAUAGAAUACCUUCGGGUGUUUCAAAACAUCAAUAUCAGUAAGUGAGUCCAUGUUUGCCUAUAGUAACUAAUUAAUAUUAAGUUCAGUCGUACUAGAUACUAAUGUCUUUUUAGUAAGAGGGGAAAUUUAAGAGAGCGAACCGCUUCUGGUUGAGCCGCUGAUGAUAUAUAGGGCUUCCGACGAAAUUACCAAGGGUUUUUAAUAUUACUAUUAAUCCCCUUUGAAAAUAGAUCUCAGAUGAAGCAAGAGGACCCCCUGAAUUUAAGCAUAUUAUUAAGGGGAGGAAAAGAAACUAACAAGGAUUCCCCUAGUAACGGCGAGUGAAGCGGGAUGAGCUCAAAUUGAAAAUCGGCAACCCAUGCGGGUUGUCGAAUUGUAGCCUAGAGACGUAUUGUCAGCGUGUGGCCCAGGUAUAAAUCUUUUGAAACAAGGUAUCAUAGAGGGUGAGAAUCCCGUCUUUGACCUGGAGAUCGCCGCGUACGACGUACGUUCGUAGAGUCGAGUUGCUUGGGAAUGCAGCUCUAAAUGGGUGGUAAAUUUCAUCUAAAGCUAAAUAUCGACGAGAGACCGAUAGCGAACAAGUACCGUGAGGGAAAGAUGAAAAGAACUUUGAAAAGAGAGUUAAAAAGUACUUGAAAUUGUUAAGAGGGAAGCGCUGGAAACCAGUCAUUAUCUAUAGCUAUACUUACUAUUUGCUCUCGAAGAAUGCUGCGGAUCAGAGCGUAAGCCUGGUCGGGUAUUGGACGAAGGGUGAGUGGGUCCUGUAGUUAUAGAUGGGUCAGAAUCAAUUCGAUUCGCGGGUGAAGACUAUGGGAAAGGUAGGAUCUCCGGAUCUGUUAUAGUCCUAUAGGCCCCACCGUGGGUUGGAUUGAGGAUGUUUAAUAUGCGCCGCAAGGUUUCGGUUGCCUAUUUCUGCUGGGUUAGCUGCUUUGGAGAACAAUGUUCUGCGGGUGGCGAAGCUUGGUACUAAGUGGGACAACCAGAUGCAUAUUCGCGAUUCUGACGAAAUGGUUUUCAUCGACCCGUCUUGAAACACGGACCAAGGAGUCUAACAUGUAUGCGAGUAUUUGGGUGGUAAACCCUGAUGCGUAAUGAAAGUGAAGGUAGUUUCGGCUACUGAGGUAGGAAUCCGCUUGCGGAGGCACUAUCGACCGAUCGUCACUUGUGAUAGAUUUGAGUAAGAGCAUAUCUGUUGGGACCCGAAAGAUGGUGAUCUAUGCCUGAACAGGGUGAAGCCAGGGGAAACUCUGGUGGAGGCUCGUAGCGAUACUGACGUGCAAAUCGUUCGUCUGAUUUGGGUAUAGGGGCGAAAGACUAAUCGAACCAUCUAGUAGCUGGUUCCCUC
rnacentral:misc_RNA from 1 species